UACGUAGGGUGCAAGCAUUAAUCGGAUUUAUUGGGCGUAAAGGGCGCGUAGGCGGGGAUUUAAGUCAGAUGUGAAAUCCCGGAGCUCAACUCCGGAACUGCAUUUGAAACUAAACCUCUAGAGGGUAGGCGGAGAAAACGGAAUUCCACAAGUAGCGGUGAAAUGCGUAGAUAUGUGGAAGAACACCAGUGGCGAAGGCGGUUUUCUAGCUUACACCUGACGCUGAGGCGCGAAAGCAAGGGGAGCAAACAGG
rnacentral:rRNA from 1 species